rnacentral:rRNA from 1 species
GUUUCGUAGGGUGAACCUGCGGAGGGAUCAUUACCGAGUUUACAACUCCCAAACCCAAUGUGAACGUUACCAAACUGUUGCCUCGGCGGGGUCACGCCCCGGGUGCGUCGCAGCCCCGGAACCAGGCGCCCGCCGGAGGAACCAACCAAACUCUUUCUGUAGUCCCCUCGCGGACGUAUUUCUUACAGCUCUGAGCAAAAAUUCAAAAUGAAUCAAAACUUUCAACAACGGAUCUCUUGGUUCUGGCAUCGAUGAAGAACGCAGCGAAAUGCGAUAAGUAAUGUGAAUUGCAGAAUUCAGUGAAUCAUCGAAUCUUUGAACGCACAUUGCGCCCGCCAGUAUUCUGGCGGGCAUGCCUGUCCGAGCGUCAUUUCAACCCUCGAACCCCUCCGGGGGAUCGGCGUUGGGGAUCGGGACCCCUCACACGGGUGCCGGCCCCGAAAUACAGUGGCGGUCUCGCCGCAGCCUCUCCUGCGCAGUAGUUUGCACAACUCGCACCGGGAGCGCGGCGCGUCCACGUCCGUAAAACACCCAACUAUCUGAAAUCAG